AUUGAACGCUGGCGGCAGGCUUAACACAUGCAAGUCGAGCGGGGUGAUGGUGCUUGCACUAUCACUUAGCGGCGGACGGGUGAGUAAUGCUUAGGAAUCUGCCUAUUAGUGGGGGACAACAUCUCGAAAGGGAUGCUAAUACCGCAUACGUCCUACGGGAGAAAGCAGGGGAUCACUUGUGACCUUGCGCUAAUAGAUGAGCCUAAGUCGGAUUAGCUAGUUGGUGGGGUAAAGGCCUACCAAGGCGACGAUCUGUAGCGGGUCUGAGAGGAUGAUCCGCCACACGGGGACUGUGACACGGCCCAGACUCCUACGGGAGGCAGCAGUGGGGAAUAUUGGACAAUGGGGGGAACCCUGAUCCAGCCAUGCCGCGUGUGUGAAGAAGGCCUUAUGGUUGUAAAGCACUUUAAGCGAGGAGGAGGCUCUUUUGGUUAAUACCCAAGAUGAGUGGACGUUACUCGCAGAAUAAGCACCGGCUAACUCUGUGCCAGCAGCCGCAGUAA
rnacentral:rRNA from 1 species